rnacentral:rRNA from 1 species
UACGAAGGGGGCUAGCGUUGUUCGGAAUUACUGGGCGUAAAGCGCACGUAGGCGGAUGUUUAAGUUAGGGGUGAAAUCCCAGGGCUCAACCCUGGAACUGCCUCUAAUACUGGGCAUCUAGAGUCCGAGAGAGGUGAGUGGAAUUCCGAGUGUAGAGGUGAAAUUCGUAGAUAUUCGGAGGAACACCAGUGGCGAAGGCGGCUCACUGGCUCGGUACUGACGCUGAGGUGCGAAAGCGUGGGGAGCGAACAGG